rnacentral:rRNA from 1 species
AGUGAACGCUGGCGGUAGGCCUAACACAUGCAAGUCGAGCGGCCACACAGUAAGCGUUCGCCCCUACCGGUGGCGACUGGCGGAUGGGUGAGGAAUACAUCGCCUUCCUAUUUUACUUGGGGGACUUCGUGGGGCCACUUAUGCUAACACCUAAUACAUUCUACGGGUGAAAUCAAGAGUUCUUCACACCUUUCCCGUUUGAUUGAGACGAUGUCGGAUUAGCUAGUGGGCUGGGUAAAGGCCCACCAAGGCGACGAACCGUUGCUGGUCCGAGAGGAGGAUCAGCCACACUGAAACUGAGACACGUUCCAGACUCCUACGGGAGGCAGCAGUGGGGAAUAUUGGACAAUGGGCGCAAGCCUGAUCCAGCCAGACCGCGUGGGUGAAGAAGGCCUUCGGGUUGUAAAGCCCUUUUGUUGGGAAAGAAAAGCAGCAGAGUAAUACCCCGCUGUUCUGACGGUACCCAAAGAAUAAGCACCGGCUAACUUCGU